GGUUCCAGGGUGCAAUGGUUAGCACUGAAAACUCUGAAUCUUGCGUUCCGAGUUCAAAUCUCGAUGGAACCU
rnacentral:tRNA from 1 species